AGAAAACCUCUCAGCAACGGAUAUCUUGGCUCUUGCAACGAUAAAAAACGCAGCGAAAUGCGAUACGUAGUGUGAAUUGCACAAUUCCGCGAAUCAUCGAGUUUUUGAACGCAAGUUGCGCCCGAGGCUUGUCCGAAGGGCAUUUCCGCUAGAGCGUCACC
rnacentral:rRNA from 1 species